rnacentral:rRNA from 1 species
AGAGUUUGAUCCUGGCUCAGGAUGAACGCUGGCGGCGUGCCUAAUACAUGCAAGUCGAACGCUUCACUUCGGUGAAGAGUGGCGAACGGGUGAGUAAUACAUAAGUAACCUGGCAUCUACAGGGGGAUAACUGAUGGAAACGUCAGCUAAGACCGCAUAGGUGUAGAGAUCGCAUGAACUCUAUAUGAAAAGUGCUACGGGACUGGUAGAUGAUGGACUUAUGGCGCAUUAGCUGGUUGGUAGGGUAACGGCCUACCAAGGCGACGAUGCGUAGCCGACCUGAGAGGGUGACCGGCCACACUGGGACUGAGACACGGCCCAGACUCCUACGGGAGGCAGCAGUAGGGAAUUUUCGGCAAUGGGGGAAACCCUGACCGAGCAACGCCGCGUGAAGGAAGAAGUAAUUCGUUAUGUAAACUUCUGUCAUAGAGGAAGAACGGUGGAUAUAGGGAAUGAUAUCCAAGUGACGGUACUCUAUAAGAAAGCCACGGCUAACUACGUGCCAGCAGCCGCGGUAAUACGUAGGUGGCGAGCGUUAUCCGGAAUUAUUGGGCGUAAAGAGGGAGCAGGCGGCACUAAGGGUCUGUGGUGAAAGAUCGAAGCUUAACUUCGGUAAGCCAUGGAAACCGUAGAGCUAGAGUGUGUGAGAGGAUCGUGGAAUUCCAUGUGUAGCGGUGAAAUGCGUAGAUAUAUGGAGGAACACCAGUGGCGAAGGCGACGAUCUGGCGCAUAACUGACGCUCAGUCCCGAAAGCGUGGGGAGCAAAUAGGAUUAGAUACCCUAGUAGUCCACGCCGUAAACGAUGAGUACUAAGUGUUGGGGUUACCCAGUGCUGAAGCUAACGUAUUAAGUACUCCGCCUGAGUAGUACGGUCGCAAGGCUGAAACUCAAAGGAAUUGACGGGCACCCGCACAAGCGGUGGAGCAUGCUGUUUAAUUCGACGAUACGCGAAGAACCUUACCUAGACUUGACAUCCCUGGCAAAGCUAUAGAAAUAUAGUGGAGGUUACCCAGGUGACAGGUGGUGCAUGGUUGUCGUCAGCUCGUGUCGUGAGAUGUUCGGUUAAGUCCGCUAACGAGCGCAACCCUUAUCCUUAGUUGCUAACAUUAAGUUGAGAACCCUAAGGAGACUGCCGGUGACAAACCGGAGGAAGGUGGGGAUGACGUCAAAUCAUCAUGCCCCUUACGUCUAGGGCUACAGGCGUGCUAUAAUGGCUGGUACAAUGAGACGCAAUACUGUGAAGUGGAGCAAAUCUAUAAAGCCAGUCUCAGUUCGGAUUGAAGUCUGCAACUCGACUUCAUGAAGCUAGAAUCGCUAGUAAUCCCAAAUCAGAAUGUUGGGGUGAAUACGUUCCCGGGCGUUGUACACACCGCCCGUCAUGCCAUGAAAGUUUGUAAUACCCGAAUGUGGUAGCCUAACCUUUUAGGAGGGGGCCAUUUAAGGUAGGACAAGUGAUUGGGGUAAAGUCGUAACAAGGUAUCCCUACGAGAACGUGGGGAUG